GACUAGGAUGUCUUGGCGCGAAUAGAGAUGUCAUUAGGGAAACGUUUGUUAAAAAAAGUGUUUUGUUCGUUUUAUAAUUGAAUUCGAAGCAAAUAGAAUUUUAUUUACGCGAAAGAAUGGUAAAAACAUACAAGUAUAUUAUUGUGAUUGUAUAAAAAAACUUUUUAUCUAAAAAUGUGUCUGUUUAAGUGAUAAUUUCCUUAACUACAUUCCGGAUUAUCAGUUUCGGAUUAAUAUAAUAAACUCAGUGUUCGUUUAAAGUGUGAUAGAACUUUUGAGCAUACGAAUGGGCAUGGUAGAUGAAGAUUUUGUUUGAGGAGACUUCAUUGUUUCAAGAGAUAAACAGAGACCAGAAUGAAACGGAAUUGUGUAAACAAAAUGUUAUGAACAAGCUAAAAAUAGUUGAUAAACCUGGUAGAAGAAGAAACAAACUUGAAACAACGGUCCUCAAUAUAGGAAAAGCCAUAACAAGUUGUUACGUAUCAUAGUGAAGACCAUCGUCCAUAUUAGAUAUAUAAAGAACAAUUCCAGAAGAAUCAAUGGCUGGGAAAUCGAUACGAGGGAAAGAAGAAUAACCUUUAUACGAACAGAUUUUUGUUUGAAAUAACCAAAUCAUUUUGUUCGAAGGGGUUUUAGAUGGUACAUCAUUUACUCAGUUGUUUUCUAAUGAAUGAAGAUGUGACUAGUUGAUAAUGCUUAUUCCCUAGCUACAGAAACAUUUGUUUUUGGUUGCUACCAACAUAAAAUAAUGUUACAUAAAGCAGAAAUAUAUAUAAAAAGGAUGUCAAGAUAUGCUAAAGUUACCAGAGGAUUGAAGGAUAAGACGAAGAAAAUUAUAUAAAAGCAGCGACGUAGAAAUGUAGCUAAAGGAAAAACAAUAGAAUAAAUAUGCAUUUUGGAGGGAAAAAAUGACAGUUUAUCAGCUGUUAAACCCAUUUGAUACCUCACAUUUAUAGACCAGACCUUCAUGAGACCAGAACCCUUCUGUGGUAUUAGAUAUAGAACAAUGGAAAAUAAGAGGUAGGCAAACACUCUUCUGGUGAACUAUAACCAUAGAAGAUCUGCUGAAUGUAUCAAGAACAAUCUACGAAUGCUAUCGGAGGACUGUCGCCUCAACAACCACCUGAAGACGCUAGAUUUAGCAGAAAAUGCAGAUUUUGUUCCACUGGAGAUGAAACCUCUAUAGUAUGAAAUUGUAGACGAAGAUCUCUGGCAAUUGAAACCAUUCCACAUUCUAGACUCUUUAGAAAGAGUGGAAAUUAUGGAUCAGCUGUAAACACUGGGUUCUCCGGUAUCGCAGCAAGAAAGGGGGACUCAAUAGAUCCUUUGGGUCGCAAUGUAUUCCAGUGCCUGUAUAAAAAUAUAACAAAAUACAAGAUUUCAUCAAAAAAUGUCCAUCCUGUCUUCAUAUUUUCCUUCAAAACUUCCAAACGACCUUUGUAGGGCAACAACUGAGUCUUCAUGAAUUUGUUGGUGUGCGUUGUUUUCGAUUUGCUUCAAUAUUGAAAAAAACUAGUCCGGAAACGAUUUGGUCGAUCUUCGAGCUAAGUUUUGCUAGAAAUUAUCGAGCACGUUCGACUUGUGAACCAGAAACAGAUAAUAGUUUACCAAAAUCUACUAAUCGAAGAAUUUGAACCAACGAAUCGCUCAAAACAAUGUGGUAAAUGUCAAAAUUGAAGUAAAGACGAUGUUUACCGUUGUUUUUAAUAACAAAGACCUUAUGCAGUCUGAUAUUAAAGAUGCACCAAUCGUACAAUAUUAAAAAUAUGUUCGAAAUACAUCAGUUUGAUGACCAAGAGACUGUGGAAACUAAUGCGAUGAAUUCAAGCUUUCAACUGCUUCAGAAA